AACAAUGUUGUUGUCGUCCCCUCCGAUGAUGACGGUGUUUCAAACGAAGUCUUUUCGAGUUGACCCGAAUUAGCAAAAGAAGCUGCAGCGGUCUUAAUCUCAGAAUGUGUCAUGGACCUUCCUCCUGCAAUUUCUGGAGGAUCAUUAGGUAAAUUAAACUUAGCACCACUGCCACGUAAGCAAAACAUAGCCGCUUCUAAUGCACGCGCCGCCUUUACGGCUGAGUCGUAAGAACCUAACCAUAUUCUUUGGCGGCUGUUUGGUAGUCUGAUUUCAGACACAUACUUUCCCCACUUCCUCUUCCUUACUCCUCUAUACAUUGAAGAAUCACUUCUUUCCGCAGCAGUUUUUUCUACAUUUGAUUUCACCAUAUUUACUCUUUAGGAUAUAAGAAAAUAAUUACACAAACACUUUAAACGUAUAGAAAUGUUGUGUUCUUUUUGUUAGAAGUGAAAGUUGUUGUUUAAGGAUGAACCUGAAAUUUGUUGAUAUAAUAUGAUGUUUUUGGCUGCUUUUGAGUUUGAGUUUGAGAGUUGAGUGAGAAUUGCGGCUGAAUAUAUAGCAUAGCAUGAUGAGAGUGAAACGAAACGAGUGAAGGAAUUUGACUGAAUGAAUAUGAAGGGUCAGCAGCGCACUUAGAAGGCGUGUAAGAUGAAGUGAGUAGUGAUUAUGAUGGUGAUUACGCGGCCAUGGAGAUAGGGAGACAAGAAGCAAAAGAUUUGGACCACGUUAUUUAUUGUCAUUUACAAUUUUAUAUAAUCCACGUGAUCAACAUAUAGUAACGUCAAAGGGGUGAUGGUGAUGGUAUGACAAAGUUUAUUGGAUCAGAUGCAUCCCCACUUUUAUUCCUCACUUUGCACUUUCACUAAAUUAUUAGUUAACACAUGGUAUUUCUUAAAGUACGUAUGAUAUUUGGUCUCUAUUAUACUACCUCUCUGAUCACUAUUAUUUGGAAAAAUUAAUUUUUUUUAGGUUGAUUCAAUAAAUGAUGUAUGUGAUCUAUGUAUAGACUACAUACAUUAUUUAUUGAAUGAAUCUAAAAAAAAGAACUUUUGCUUAUAAUAGUGAUUAGAGAGAGUAAACAAAAUGUUAUAAAUAAUAAACUUAGUGGAUGUCCAUCCUUAAUCUUCCCCCUUUCUAUGACUCCCACUAGUGAAUGUAUGGUUAGUGAAUACGUGACCUUAGUGGAUUAUAGUGGAUACAUGACCUUUAGAUGGCCAAUGUGGAUUUUAAGAUUGACUCAAAGGUGGUGGUAGACAAUAUUUAUGGUUGUACAUUCGACGUUUUUGAUUUUAUGUCAGUUAUUAAUGAUUGUUGGCGCCUAGUUUCUUCUGAUUUAGCAACAUUUGAUGUUAUGUUUAUUAGGAGAUAAGCAAACGAAGUUGCUCAUAGUCUUAGCUAUGGUAGCUCCAUGUCAUGCUUGUUUCUGUAUUUUCAUUUGAAAUCCAUUGUUUAUCUCUACUCUUAUAUUAUUUUUUUUGGUUACAUAUCUACUCUUAUAUUAAAUGAAAUGCAUUAAGUUUUCUUUUGUAAAAAAAAAUGGACAAAUAGUUUAAGAUACAAAAAAAUAGUAAACAAAACACAUAAUUUGAGACAGAUAGAGUAAAAUAUAUGAUUUAUUAAAUCAAUUUAUUAAUCAUGUGUUUUAUAUUAGUCUAAAGUUAUUAAUCAUGUGUUUUCUACUAUAAAUUUAAAGUGAGGUCUUUAGAAAUCAAUUUAGGUUCAAACUACAUUGUCUCUAUUUAUACACAAAAAAAGAAAUUGAAAUCUAAUACCGAGUAUAAUUUCUUUACAUCAACAGUAUAACGAUAUAAUUCUUAUAACAUUCAUAGUCGGAGUCCUUCUUAUAAUUUUCGUGUAUCAUAGAACAAUUACCUUAAGUGCUUUUCGGCACAAAAACUUUUUGAGAGAACUGCUCAAUUUAUUUAUUUGUUUGAAAGGUAAGGCUAUCAAAGCCUUCGUUAUAAUUAUAAACACACCAACAAAACAUUAUUUUUCAUUAAAUUUUACAAACAAAUAAGUUACAUAUGUAGAAAAAAAUAUUUCACAUAUAAAACUUGUUUUAAGCCUUACUCACUAUUGAAAAUUUGUUUCUAUUUUGUUUCUAUUUUCAUUUGUUUCUAUUUUGUUAUACGAAAGGUGGGGGUGAUGCAACCUUUAAUUAAGUGGAGAAUAGAUCAAGAGUUGAUUUCUUAAUGAGCAUUUCAAACAAUGUCCAUAUAUCUUAUAUUAAUAGUUUUUUCACUGUUGAAUUAGACAAAAUCUUAUCCUUUUAUUUAUAAUAAAUCCAAGAAUGGCCAAAUUAAAAAACAUUAUAUUAUUAUCACAUCACUUUACAAUGUUUCAUGAAUCAUAUGAACAAAAUUGGAACUUUAAUUACUAAGGUAAUUUUUUUUAUGAUCAGUGUUAAAUUGACACUGGACUAUCUCCCAUAAGAAUUGGCACUCGUAGAUCCAAUGUGGACCCGGGUUCUUGUCGCGGUUUCGGAUAUACUAAAACUAUCCGCAACCCGACCAACUUGAAUAUCAUUUCUUAGAAAUUCCACAAGAACAGGUCUGGAAUUACCAACCCAUCCAUGUUCUCUUCUACAUAAUCAAAAUCUGACAUCUCCGGCACGUAGAAAUCGCCACAAAAAUCAUCAAAACCCGGAAACAUAGAGUAACCUGACCCGGUUUCUGAAAACAUGUCCGAAAAUAACCCGUUUUCCUUGGAGUUACAAUCUGUCUGAACCGUCACAUCGGAUAGAGCAGGAGACAACAACUCCAUAGACAACAAUGUUGUUGCAGUCCCCUCCGAUGAUGACGGUGUUUCAAACGGAGUAUUUUCGGGUUGACCCGAAUUAGCAAAAGAAGCUGCAGCGGUCUUAAUCUCAGCAUGUGUCAUGGAUCUUCCUCCGGCAAUGUACGGAGGAUCAUUAGGAAAAUUAAACUUAGCACCACUGCCACGUAAGCAAAACAUAGCCGCAUCAAAUGCACGCGCCGCCUUUACGGCUGAGUCGUAAGAACCUAACCAUAUUCUUUGGCGGCUGUUUGGUAGUCUGAUUUCAGACACAUACUUUCCCCAUUUCCUCUUCCUUACUCCUCUAUACAAUGAAGAAUCACUUCGUUCCACCGCAGUUUUUUCCACAUUUGAUUUCACCAUAUUUGCACAAACACUUUAAACGUCCAGAAAUGUUGUUAGAACUGAAAGUUGUUGUUGUUUAAGGAGGAACCGAAUAUCUGUUGAUAUAGAAUGAUGUUUUUGGCUGCGUUUGAGUUUGAGAGUUGAGUGAGAAUUGCGGCUGAAUAUAUAUAUAGCAUGCAUGAAUGAGUGAAACGAGUGAAGGAAUUUUUGACUGAAUAUGAAGGGUCAAAGCACUUAGAAGGCGUGUAAGAUGAAGAGAGUAGUGAUUAUGAUUAUGAUGUUGUCUACGCGGCCAUGGAGACAAAAGAAGCAAAAGAUUUGGACCAUGUUAUUUAUAUAUACUCCACGUGAUGAACAUUUAUAUAAAGUCAAAUGGGUGAUGGUGAUGGUAUAAGAAACGACAAAAGUUUAUUGGAUCAGAUGCAUCCCCACUUUCACUUCUCACUUUGCACUUUCACUUAAUUAUAACUUUUGCGUCCUAUAAUAGAUGACCUAUUUGACAAUGUAUAAUAUUGACUUAACAUAUUUUGAUUGUAUUUUUCUACUAAUAUACGAAGAUAAAAAAUUUCAUGUAAGAUGUUGUUUGAUUCGUCUCGAUGAGUAUUUUUAAAAUAUUAAAAAUAUUAAACAUAAAAAUAUGCAUUGAUAUAUGUAUCAUAGUCAAAUAUGUCAAGUAAUAUGAGACAAAGGGAGUAAUAUUUGCUUUAAAGUACAUAUUAUUUCUGAUUUAAAAUAAAAAGUAUAAAAUCACUUUUUCUAUUUAUUGAAUAACUUAUGGUAAUGUUAACUUGUGUCGUAAGGGCACAUGUCAAGCAAUCUUAAAAUAGAAAUAUUCUAUUAAUAUUUGUUCAUUUAAUUAAGAGUUUUGUUAAUGAGUGUCCUAAAGGCACUCUCUAAGGUUUCUCAAUUAAGAAAUUAUUCCUUAAAAAAGUUUAACACUUCAAUUUCCGAUACAUUGAAUGCACAAUUUUUCAUAAAAAUUUACUAUUUCAAGUCCUUAGAGAAUGUCCUUAGGGCACUCAUAAACAUUUCCUUUUAACUAAUUAAAAGUUAACAAAUUAAAUACAAUACACAAGGUCCAACAAAAAAAAUUCUACAUUUAACUUAUUAACUUGUGUCUUAAUGGCACAAGUUAACAUUUCCCAAUAACUUAUAUAUUUGAUCUUAAGUAUAAAUCAAAUACAUUAAUUAUUUAGUGUUGGCGUGAAAUUUUUUCUUUCUAACAUACACAAUCAAAAUAUUAAUUUAGGAUUCAAGUUAGAUCCCUAAUAGAUUUUUAGUUGACAGGUUUACGACCACAAGUCUUAGUUUUCGAAUAAAAGUGAAAUAAUGUAAGGAUAAAAAUUUUGAAAGCAAGAAGUAUAAAUGAGUUACAUACAUCAUUUGUUCAACAAAUAGACGAAUUAUCUAGUAUACAAGUUUUUGAAACCGAAAUGAACGAUUUGCAUGAAAUUUAAUUCUAUUAUUUAUAUAUGAAGAAGAAAAACAAAUAAAUUAGGAUGGGAAGAUAAAGGUACACAUACAAAUACUUGUAUCGUAGGACAUAGAUUAAAGAACUCUAGAGGAAAAAACCCUCACAAAUCACAUAGUUAGGAUGGGAAAUUUUGCUGGCCAGAGCUUUUGUAUCCACAUGCCCAUCUCAAAAGAGUAUUAAUCAAGCCAAUAUAGUAUUUGACCGAAAAAAAUCUUAUCCUUUUACAUAUUAAAGAAGGUGCCAUUUAGUGAUCUUAAAAAAGAUCACUUUACAUUGUUUCAUGAUUCAUUUCAUAUAUCCACAAAAUAUUACAACUUAAAAUCUCACGGCAAAACAUUGGCAACCAAACCCGAAUUGUGGAUCCAGUUCUUGUCAGUAUUUUCGGAUAUACUAAAACUAUCCUCAACCGUAUGAAAUUACUUAGAAAUUCCAUAAGAAUGAAUCUUGUAUUAUCAACCCAUCCAUGUUCUCUUCUUCAUAAGCAAAAUUUGUCAACUCCGGCACAUAAAAAUCGCCACAAAAAUCAUAAAAACCCGGAAACAUAGUGUAACCCAACCCGGUUUCUGAAAACAAGUCCUUACACAACCCGUUUUCUCCUAAAUCACUAUCGGUUUGAACCGUCACAUCAGAUAGAGCAGGAGACGACAACAAUGUUGUUGUCGUCCCCUCCAAUAAAGAUGGUGUUUCAACCUGAGUAUAACAUGUUGAAACACCAUCCAUUGGCAGGAAUGUCGUUCCCUGUGACCAAGACGGUGUUUCGAUCGUAGAAUUAUCGGGUUGCCCCGAAUACUCAUUAUUGACUUGACCCGAAUUGGCAAAACGGGCUGCCGCGGUCUUAAUCUCAGAAUGUGUCAUGGACCUUCCUCCGGCAAUCUCCGGAGGAUCAUUAGGAAAAUUAAACUUAGCACCACUGCCACGUAAGCAAAACAUAGCUGCGUCGAAUGCACGUGCCGCCUUCACGUCGGAGUCAUAGGAACCUAACCAUAUUCUCUGGCGGCUGUUUGGCAGCCUGAUUUCUGACACAUAUUUCCCCCACUUU
rnacentral:lncRNA from 1 species